rnacentral:lncRNA from 1 species
AAUUUGUCAGCCGUCAUCGGGUAAAAACGACAAAUCAAAGAAUUCAACUCUAUAUAUAACUAAUAUAGGACAAUGGUGUAGAUUAAAAAUUACACCACUCCAGACCCUUUUGUUUUCCACAUAAUUGAUAUUGCCAAUAAUUAACAAGUUCCGGGUCUAAUCCGAUACCGAUACCAAUAGUAUAUUCACCUGUUAGCUAUUACCUUAUCUGUACGUUCCGCAUUUGACAGGCGCACCACCAAACGGUGUAUUUAGGAUUUUGCUAUAUACACGGGUCAUAAUCAAAGGGCUGACACUACUAAAUUCAAUCAUUGUCAAAUUGUUCCCUAUUGUAGCUUUAUUCAGCAAUCAGCAAGACUUUCUAAGAUAACUAAUAUAG